rnacentral:rRNA from 1 species
GAGUUUGAUCAUGGCUCAGGACCAUCGCUGGCGGCGUGCUUAACACAUGCAAGUCGAACGAUGAAGCCUAGCUUGCUAGGUGGAUUAGUGGCGAACGGGUGAGUAAUACGUGAGUGACCUACCUUUGACUCUGGGAUAAGCCUGGGAAACUGGGUCUAAUACCGGAUACGACCAAUCUCCGCAUGGGGUGUUGGUGGAAAGCGUUAUGGAGUGGUUUUAGAUGGGCUCACGGCCUAUCAGCUUGUUGGUGAGGUAAUGGCUUACCAAGGCGACGACGGGUAGCCGGCCUGAGAGGGUGACCGGCCACACUGGGACUGAGACACGGCCCAGACUCCUACGGGAGGCAGCAGUGGGGAAUAUUGCACAAUGGGCGCAAGCCUGAUGCAGCGACGCCGCGUGAGGGAUGACGGCCUUCGGGUUGUAAACCUCUGUUAGCAUCGAAGAAGCGAAAGUGACGGUAGGUGCAGAGAAAGCGCCGGCUAACUACGUGCCAGCAGCCGCGGUAAUACGUAGGGCGCGAGCGUUGUCCGGAAUUAUUGGGCGUAAAGAGCUUGUAGGCGGUUGGUCGCGUCUGCUGUGAAAGGCUGGGGCUUAACCCUGGUUUUGCAGUGGGUACGGGCUAACUAGAGUGCAGUAGGGGAGACUGGAAUUCCUGGUGUAGCGGUGGAAUGCGCAGAUAUCAGGAGGAACACCGAUGGCGAAGGCAGGUCUCUGGGCUGUAACUGACGCUGAGAAGCGAAAGCAUGGGGAGCGAACAGGAUUAGAUACCCUGGUAGUCCAUGCCGUAAACGUUGGGCACUAGGUGUGGGGGACAUUCCACGUUUUCCGCGCCGUAGCUAACGCAUUAAGUGCCCCGCCUGGGGAGUACGGCCGCAAGGCUAAAACUCAAAGAAAUUGACGGGGGCCCGCACAAGCGGCGGAGCAUGCGGAUUAAUUCGAUGCAACGCGAAGAACCUUACCAAGGCUUGACAUAUACUGGACUGCGUCAGAGAUGGCGUUUCCCUUCGGGGCUGGUAUACAGGUGGUGCAUGGUUGUCGUCAGCUCGUGUCGUGAGAUGUUGGGUUAAGUCCCGCAACGAGCGCAACCCUCGUUCUAUGUUGCCAGCACGUGAUGGUGGGGACUCAUAGGAGACUGCCGGGGUCAACUCGGAGGAAGGUGGGAUGACGUCAAAUCAUCAUGCCCCUUAUGUCUUGGGCUUCACGCAUGCUACAAUGGCCGGUACAGAGGGUUGCGAUACUGUGAGGUGGAGCUAAUCCCUAAAAGCCGGUCUCAGUUCGGAUUGGGGUCUGCAACUCGACCCCAUGAAGUCGGAGUCGCUAGUAAUCGCAGAUCAGCAACGCUGCGGUGAAUACGUUCCCGGGCCUUGCACACACCGCCCGUC